rnacentral:rRNA from 1 species
UGGGGAAUAUUGGACAAUGGGCGAAAGCCUAAUCCAGCCAUGCCGCGUGUGUGAAGAAGGUCUUCGGAUUGUAAAGCACUUUAAGUUGGGAGGAAGGGCAGUAAGCGAAUACCUUGCUGUUUUGACGUUACCGACAGAAUAAGCACCGGCUAACUCUGUGCCAGCAGCCGCGGUACUACAGAGGGUGCAAGCGUUAAUCGGAAUUACUGGGCGUAAAGCGCGCGUAGGUGGUUCGUUAAGUUGAAUGUGAAAGCCCCGGGCUCAACCUGGGAACUGCAUCCAAAACUGGCGAGCUAGAGUAGGGCGGAGGGUGGUGGAAUUUCCUGGGUAGCGGUGAAAUGCGUAGAUAUAGGAAGGAAAACCAGAGGCGAAGGCGACCACCUGGGCUCAUACUGGCACUGAGGUGAGAAAGCGUGGGGAGCAAACAGG